UUUCUUUUCUUAUCUAAUUCUUGGAGUCUAACCUGCUCGAAGGGUCCUAUCUUAGGAGAGUGGUUAUCUCGAAUCAACCUCUAACAUCUAACUAAACGAACAAAAUUUCGUGUUUGUGUCCGUUCAUGUUUUAAACGAACGAAACAAACAAAACUUCCCGCAAAACGGUUCACGAACUGUUCGCUUAACGUUAGAGGCGGAAGGGGACCGCAGACGAUUGCCACCGCGUCACUACUCUCCACCUCCACGCUAUGCGAGAUCUCGGUCUCGUGGCCGUGAGUAUUCACCUCCUCCCACGAGAAGGCAUCAUCAAUCUAGGUUGUUUUCACCUCGAGGAAAAAGGUAUAGUAGAGAAUGAUUGUAUUCACGCUCACCGGUAAGAGCGCGCUCUGCACCUUACAAUGGGGGGUCUAGGAGUCCUAGUCGAAGUCCCGUCAGAGACAGGUCUCCUCCACCCUAUAAUAAUGGUUCAAGGAG